UUAAGAAAAAGCAUAUCACAGCCCAAUAUCAUAGCUUAAGGGUGAAGUAUUGUAAGCAUAUAAAAGGGCUACCUUGUUGUGUUUGAAAAUACAAUUCACUCUCACACGAGAGAACAGAGAGUUAAAAACAGAGGAGAAAGGCGGAGAGUGAGCAUAGAACGACGGAGGAAACGAGUUGGAUGCACACCAACUGUUCGAGAAAUCAACCGGUGUUAUUAUUUCAUCUCUUUUCUUCUCUUUUGUGUAAAGCUAUCUUGGUAAUGUGUAGCUAAAGACACUUUUGUUGGGAUUAGGUGUAAAUUACUCUAUUAGUAUGUGUUUCUAUUGAUCAUGGUUUUAUAUAUGGUUUUAGUUGUUUCUCAAUAUUGAUGUUAUCUUUGUUUUCAUUGUUUUAAUCUUUGAUUUGAAUUGUUAUAGACAUAUACCUUUUGAAUCUAAGAACUAGGAUAAUAUCUAUUGAACUCUAAAUUCUAGACAUAGAUUUAGGUUUAAUAUUCACUUAGAGUAUCGAAUCUUAAUGUUAUUGUAUUAAUUGACGAUCUGAGACAUCGGAGGUUAAUAGAUGCAAUAGAUAUCUCGGCGUUAUCUGGACACGGAAACGUUCGACGAGCGAUACGUGAUAAUAUUGAUAGAUGACUAGAACCUGUGUAACUGAUUAGGGGAAUAUGUAUGAAUGAGUGAUUGAAAUCUAAUCCCAGCAAUUUAAUCUCUCUGUCAAAUUAAUCAUCUUUACUACUUUCAUGUAUUCGCAACUUUCGUAAUCAACCAUCUUUGAAAUCCUUUACUUGAAAUUAUAUUAAUUGUUGAACGGCAUCGAUAUCGCAUCAGUCCCUAUGGAGACGAUAAAAACAUACUUACUUUUGAACUUUCAACAAUAUGGCGCCGUUGCCGGGGACUGACGUUUAGAUAUUGGAGCAUCGCAACAAUUUAUAUUCUUUUAAGUAUUUGUAUAUAUUUGUUUAUAUUGUAUAGUUUUUGCUUGUACUAAUCCUCUUUGCUAGACAAAGAAAGCUGUUUUUCUUGUUUGUUGAAUCCUUUUUCAGAUUCCCCAUUAAAAGUAAAACCAUGACUGAUCGUGGUUAUUACAACUUCUAUACUCCGUGUGAGUAUGAAUCAUAUCAACAGUUUCCUCCUUAUAAUUAUGGGCAAACUUCAGAGGCUAGAUUGGAGGAGACCAUGAUUAAAUUAAUGGAAAUGCAGCAGCAACAAAACCAACAGUGGCAACAACAGCUGCAACAGAUGAAUGAACAAAUGCAACAGAUGCAAGACCAGCACCAACAAUAUCUGAAAAACAGUCUUGCACGGGCCAAAAAUUUGGAAAAUCAGCUUGUUCAGUUGGCUAAACAGUUAGCCAAUAACAAUAACCAAGGAGGAACAUUUCAAACCAACACACAAACCACUCCUGAUGCGAAAGAUAAUAAUCCAAUGAAAAACGAGGAAAGUGGAGAGAGUGUGAAAGGUGUUGAAAACAAUGAGGAAGAAAGAAUGUGUGAUGGAUGCGGUGUAGAGAAAAUAGUGAUAAAAAUAAAGACACCACAUGAAGUAGAACUUCCUCAAGAGUCACCAUGUAUUGAGAAGACUAGCACUGUUGAUAAUGAAGAAGUGAUGAUGGCUGCAGAAGAAAUUGAGGGAUUACUUGACAAGGAAAUAUCAAUUGAGCAAAAGAGGGAGAUGGAGAACCAGGCGUUGAUUGAUCGGGUAAUAGACGAAAUUUGUGCCUUGUUCAACAAAAAAGAAUUGGGGAGGAUAUGGACUCCGCAACAUCUAUAUCUAAAGUUCAUGGAGUUCCUCCCUAACCGAAGGAAAAAGACGGAUGAUGUUCUUUCCGUUUCGUUUUGGCCACCCUAACAUCUCAGGCGUCGAGCUACCGACGUUAACCAAGCGCUCGUUGGGAGGCAACCCAAUUUUCUAUCUUUACCAUUUAAUUUUUGCAAUUUAUCAUUUUAGUUUAUUUAAGCAUGUUUUGAAAGGUUGCUAGUAAGCCAAAACUGAACCUCUGGUGUGAAAUUUUAAAUUGUUUUGCUUCUCCUGUAAUUCUUGCUAAGCCAGUUCAGCAGCUCAGUUUUUCUGUCACAUUUCGCUAAGCGAAAUUAUUUUCGCUAAGCCAAAGAUGCCAAUACUGUUUGUUUUAAAUUAGAACAAUCUCAUUCAUCCACUUUUCCUUAUCUCUGUCCCUGCGUUUUUCUCAAAUCUCAAACCCAAAAGUUCUUUAUCCCUCCAUCUUUUGUAUCACUACACCUCACAAAAAUUUCACUCCAUCUCAUUGAUACUCAAUUUUCAACCAUGAAAAGGGUUAAAUUUUUCCCAUUCAUCUCCAACAUAUUUUGUUCUUCAUUGUGCAUCUUAAUUUCAAGAGAAAAGGGAGGCAUUUGCUGCGCAUAUAUAGCAUGGCCUGUGGAAAGGCCAUUUUACUAGGAGGAGGUGAGAAGUUGUUGUUGGUACCAAGGAAGUGAAGAAGAGCCAGACAACUGACAAGAGAAAGAUAGACUAAAAAGCUCUCCAAAACUCUGUGAAGUUUAUUUUAAAUAGCUUUCGGUUAAAUUUAUGCUUUAUCUUAAUUUAUAUUUCUCUUGUGGUCUGAACAACACGUUGAUGGUUGAUUGAAAAAAUGGUUCAAAUUUUUGAAAUUUUGAAUACCAUGUGCAUAUGAAUUGAAAUGUCUAGGUUUGUGAUUAAUCAAAUUUUUCAAAUUGCAUUGUUUGAGGUCAAAUUUUUGUGAUUAUCUUUGAAUGAUAGGAUGAAUUUGAACUAAGUAGCUUUAUUCAAUUUGAUUUCAUUCAUUCCUUCUUAACAUGAUUAAUUGAUUUUGAAUCACGUAGACCUAGUCGGGUGACAUUGUGUGAACUUUCCAUUGUUUAUAUAUUUGAGAGCCGACAAUUGUGUUUAACUCUGUUGAUUUUAACUGAAUCUUGCUAUUACUUGAUGUGUUUGAAGUCAUGGAUAUGAUCAAGGCCUUGUUUCUUUUUGAGUGAUAACUACUUAAGCCAAAAUAACCUACCUUGUGAGUUAGUGUGAUCCUUUGCUACCCCCCUUGAGCCAAAAAUUUUGAAAAUUUGUUUGUUUUGAACCCUUGAACCAUAAUAAAGAAAAACAAUGACUUAACCCUUGUCUUAGGAUGAUUGAGCAUUGAGUUUAAGUAGGGUUGAAAACAAGUUGGGGAGAAAGAGGUUAUUUGUUUG